GGGAGAGGUCGGGCUAAAUUGCACAGAUAAGAUCAAUAUGUAGUUAUGGGGUGUGGCUGCUCCUUUUUUACAAUGAACACUGUAUAACAUUGCAUUAGCUCUACGCGGUGUUAAAUGGAUUAUUCUUAAGAUGGGAUGUGGAGAGCUUAUCUGUCAAAGAAUAACAUUUUAGGACAAUCAGUGAUCACUUCACACUUAUUUUUUCUUCAGGAUGCAUCAAAGCGAAGGAGGGAGUAGUGAUAUUGUUACAAUGCAAUCAAGUCCACAGAGAGAGGAGGUACAGCACGACAACAAAAC
rnacentral:lncRNA from 1 species